UCUUACGGGACGGCAGCAGUAGGGAAUCUUCCACAAUGGACGAAAGUCUGAUGGAGCAACGCCGCGUGAGCGAUGAAGGCCUUCGGGUCGUAAAGCUCUGUUGUUAGGGAAGAACAAGUGCGAGAGUAACUGCUCGCACCUUGACGGUACCUAACCAGAAAGCCACGGCUAACUACGUGCCAGCAGCCGCGGUAAUACGUAGGUGGCAAGCGUUGUCCGGAAUUAUUGGGCGUAAAGCGCGCGCAGGUGGUCCUUUAAGUCUGAUGUGAAAGCCCACGGCUCAACCGUGGAGGGUCAUUGGAAACUGGGGGACUUGAGUGCAGAAGAGGAAAGUGGAAUUCCAAGUGUAGCGGUGAAAUGCGUAGAGAUUUGGAGGAACACCAGUGGCGAAGGCGACUUUCUGGUCUGUAACUGACACUGAGGCGCGAAAGCGUGGGGAGCAAACAGGAUUAGAUACCCUGGUAGUCCACGCCGUAAACGAUGAGUGCUAAGUGUUAGAGGGUUCCGCCCUUUAGUGCUGCAGCUAACGCAUAAGCACUCCGCCUGGGAGAGGCACCA
rnacentral:rRNA from 2 species